GAACUGCGAUAAGUAAUGUGAAUUGCAGAAUUCAGUGAAUCAUCGAGUCUUUGAACGCACAUUGCGCCCCCUGGCAUUCCGGGGGGCAUGCCUGUCCGAGCGUCAUUGCUGCCCUUCAAGCCCGGCUUGUGUGUUGGGUCGUCGUCCCCUCCGGGGGACGGGCCCGAAAGGCAGCGGCGGCACCGCGUCCGGUCCUCGAGCGUAUGGGGCUUUGUCACCCGCUCAAUAAGGACCGGCCGGGCGCCAGCCGGCGUCUCCAACCUUUUUUUCUCAGGUUGACCUCGGAUCAGGUAGGGAUACCCGCUGAACUUAAGC
rnacentral:misc_RNA from 1 species